rnacentral:rRNA from 1 species
UAAAUAGCCGCAGUAUAUUGACUGUGCAAAGGUAGCAUAAUCAUUUGGUCUUUAAAUGGGAUCUAGAAUGAAAGGGUUAACGAGGUUUUACUGUCUUAAAAAUAUAGUUUAAAUUUAUACUUUUUGUAAUAAUACAAAAAUUUAAUUAAGGGACGAUAAGACCCUAUAAAGCUUUAUUCCUUUUUAUAAUUUGUUUUUAUACAAUUCAAUUUAUAAUAGGGAAUUUUACUGGGGCGGUAUUUUAAAUUUAAAACUAAGGUAAAAUAAAUAUUUGAUCCAAUUUUAUUGAUCAUAAGAUUAAGUUACUUUAGGGAUAACAGCAUAAUUCACUUAGGGAGUUCAAAUCGAAGAGUGAGAUUAUGACCUCGAUGUUGAAUUAAAAUUUCUUUAGGGUGUAGGAGCUCUAAGAGUCAGUCUGUUCGACUAUUAAAUUUUUACAUGAUCUG